AAGAUCAUACUUCACAGGAUCAUUUCUGUAGUAUAUCUUCACAUACUCCAUACCCUAAUUUGGAGUCGUCGCAGCCAUGAUGAUGAGUUGUAGUGUUAUGUUCUGAGCGUGAGGCUUACUUUGAUUGUUCAACUUCGGUUGUGAUCAAAGUUAACGAUGAUCGUUCACCAGCAUUUUGUAUUGUUGUCCAUGGACUUAACACAUUCCGAGUGGU
rnacentral:snoRNA from 1 species